rnacentral:rRNA from 1 species
CCUACGGGUGGCAGCAGUGGGGAAUAUUGGACAAUGGGGGGAACCCUGAUCCAGCCAUGCCGCGUGUGUGAAGAAGGCCCUCGGGUUGUAAAGCACUUUCAGUGAGGAAGAACGCCUGGUGGUUAAUACCCAUCAGGAAAGACAUCACUCACAGAAGAAGCACCGGCUAACUCCGUGCCAGCAGCCGCGGUAAUACGGAGGGUGCGAGCGUUAAUCGGAAUUACUGGGCGUAAAGCGCGCGUAGGUGGCUUGAUAAGCCGGUUGUGAAAGCCCCGGGCUCAACCUGGGAACGGCAUCCGGAACUGUCAAGCUAGAGUGCAGGAGAGGAAGGUAGAAUUCCCGGUGUAGCGGUGAAAUGGGUAGAGAUCGGGGGAAUACCAGUGGCGAAGGCGGCCUUCUGGACUGACACUGACACUGAGGUGCGAAAGCGUGGGUAGCAAACAGGAUUAGAUACCCUGGUAGUC